rnacentral:rRNA from 1 species
CCUACGGGUGGCAGCAGUGAGGAAUAUUGGUCAAUGGACGAGAGUCUGAACCAGCCAAGUAGCGUGAAGGAUGACUGCCCUAUGGGUUGUAAACUUCUUUUAUAUGGGAAUAAAAUGUUCCACGUGUGGGAUUUUGUAUGUACCAUAUGAAUAAGGAUCGGCUAACUCCGUGCCAGCAGCCGCGGUAAUACGGAGGAUCCGAGCGUUAUCCGGAUUGAUUGGGUUUAAAGGGAGCGUAGGUGGAUUGUUAAGUCAGUUGUGAAAGUUUGCGGCUCAACCGUAAAAUUGCAGUUGAAACUGGCAGUCUUGAGUACAGUAGAGGUUGGCGGAAUUCGUGGUGUAGCGGUGAAAGGCUUAGAUAUCACGAAGAACUCCGAUUGCGAAGGCAGCUCACUGGACUGCAACUGACACUGAGGCUCGAAAGUGUGGGUAUCAAACAGGAUUAGAUACCCUUGUAGUC